CAUGCAAGUCGAACGAAAAGAGGGAAAGAGCUUGCUCUUUCCGGAAUUGAGUGGCAAACGGGUGAGUAACACGUAAACAACCUGCCUUCAGGAUGGGGACAACAGACGGAGACGACUGCUAAUACCGAAUAAGUUCCAAGAGCCGCAUGGCCCAUGGAAGAAAAGGUGGCCUCUACCUGUAAGCUAUCGCCUGAAGAGGGGUUUGCGUCUGAUUAGCUGGUUGGAGGGGUAACGGCCCACCAAGGCGACGAUCAGUAGCCGGUCUGAGAGGAUGAACGGCCACACUGGAACUGAGACACGGUCCAGACUCCUACGGGAGGCAGCAGUGGGGAAUCUUCCGCAAUGGGCGAAAGCCUGAUGGAGCAACGCCGCGUGAGUGAUGACGGCCUUCGGGUUGUAAAACUCUGUGAUCCGGGACGAAAAGGCAGAGUGCGAAGAACAAACUGCAUUGACGGUACCGGAAAAGCAAGCCACGGCUAACUACGUGCCAGCAGCCGCGGUAAUACGUAGGUGGCAAGCGUUGUCCGGAAUUAUUGGGCGUAAAGCGCGCGCAGGCGGCUUCCCAAGUCCCUCUUAAAAGUGCGGGGCUUAACCCCGUGAUGGGAAGGAAACUGGGAAGCUGGAGUAUCGGAGAGGAAAGUGGAAUUCCUAGUGUAGCGGUGAAAUGCGUAGAGAUUAGGAAGAACACCGGUGGCGAAGGCGACUUUCCGGACGAAAACUGACGCUGAGGCGCGAAAGCGUGGGGAGCAAACAGGAUUAGAUACCCUGGUAGUCCACGCCGUAAACGAUGGAUACUAGGUGUAGGAGGUAUCGACCCC
rnacentral:rRNA from 1 species